rnacentral:lncRNA from 1 species
AUAAACAGGUGUCAAGCAUAACACUGGAUUUAGAAGGCCAUAUCUGUCAUCUUACAAUGAUAUUCUACUUAAUAAAUUCAUCAUCACUGACUUAGCCACUUGCUACAAAGCUAUCAGAGUUGAAUGUAAAGAAGCUGGAAAAACAUUCGCUGAAUUUCCUAUCCAAAUAUAACCACCAUCUUGGUCAGACACAUGGGCUCUUUGAUAUGAGAUAUGAAGAAGAUAUCCUCAGCUAGUUCGCUCAAUUCAGCAGCAACAUAAUAAAGAAGAAAAUGAAAUGUCUCCUAAAAUGCUGGCUCUGGGGGAAACCAGAGGCCAUAUAAGAAGUCUGACUAACCUGAGACUAUGAUGUUGUAAGGAAGCCCAGGAUAGCCAUGUGGAGAGGCUACAUGGAGUGAAAGAUGCUCUGACAGUCCCCAGGGUCUUCUGCCAACUCCACCCAGGUGCCAGCAUUUGAGAGAAAAUGCCAUCUUGGACACUGUAGCCACAGCAAAUGCCACAUGGAGAAGUGCAGAAACCAGGUGAUAGACAGAAACAAGGCCUCAGACAUUCAGUCCCAGCACAGGAAUGUGGACAUCAACCUCCAAGGUCCCUAAGGAUCCCUGCCUCCUGGUCUGCACACCUCCGUAUAGUCCCUUCCCACACUGCACCAUGAUUAGGCUGUGCGACCAACAGCAUGUGGCAGUGAUGGUAUGUCACUUCAAGGAUCAGAAUACAGAAGACACUAUGACAUCUGUCUUGGAUGCUUUCUCUCUUAUUCACUCAAGGGAAAACUAGCUGCCGUGUGAGGACACUCAGGCAGUGGAUGGUGAGGCCCAUGUUGUGAGGAACUGAUGUCUCUGACCAACAGGCAGUGAGGACCUGGGACCUGUCCACAUCCACAUGAGUGAGUUUCCAAGUGGACCAUCCAGUCCCAAUGACUGCAGCCCAGGCUGACAGCUGGACAGCAACCUCUACAGAACUCUGAGCCAGAAACAACCAGCUAAGCCAUUCCUGGAUUCCUGAUCUAUGAAAACUAUGAGAUAAUAAAUGCUGGUUGUGUUAAGCUGCUAAAUUGUGGAUAAUUUAUUGUAUAAGAAUAGAUAACUAAUAAAAAUUAUCACAAUC